GCCCCUGUGGUGAAAUGGAUAUCAUUACUGCCUUCGAAGCAGUCGUUCUCCGUUCGAAUCGGAGCAGGGGCA
rnacentral:tRNA from 6 species